UUUUCUGAGAUUGGAGAUUUUGCAUGACAGAAAUUUACGUUAAGUAAGUCUAUACUCGUUAUAGUUCUUUAAAUAGAGAUAAAGGGUAUAUAUGGGAUAAUAAAAAAUUAUUUGAAGAUUUAUAUCAAGGCUAUUUUCAAACAGACUUGGGAACGUCUAAUGACACGAUUUAAAAAAAAAUUACUCAAGUUUUAAUUUCAGCAGCGAAAGCAUUUCAAGCAAGUUUAUAGUGGAGAUGUCCAAUUUUGGUGCCCAACAUGGAGCCCUUCCUUUUAAAGAUAAUUAAGUAGAGUUUUGUAUGAUUUCUUCAUUACAGGAAUUGUUAAAUUCUUGACACCUUUUUGAAUCUAUGUUUACUUGGAAAAAUUACAAUAACGAAUAAGCAUUUUAACUAUGAGAAUGUCGGGUAUAUAUUAAAAUAGUCUAUACAGUCGCAUGUAUUACGAUUUAUGGCAGUUAACUUAUCCUCUAAUAUGUUCUGGGGUAUGAGAUAUCCUUAUAGAUGAUAUUGAAAGCUAACACCAAAUACCAGUGUAACGAAUAUUGUCAACAGCUGGCCGUUUUAUAUUUUAUAUUAUAUAGAAUGAGUCAAUUGGUUACAGUACCAAUUAUUGGUAGCACUUUUUACACAUUAAAUACCUCUUUAGCUAAUUGAACAAUUUUUUGAAAUUUAAUGGGAUGUGGCAAAAACUCUACGAAACAAACAACGUAGAAAUUGUAUACUCCUUACGCCAUAUGCCUAAAAAUAACUCUAGACGGAUGAUAUGAAGCCCACACACCCACAGUUUCGACCAAUAGGAGGGCUCGGCCUGGCUUGUUCGCGCGAAUUAAAGAAAUGCUGGAAUUUAAACAUGCAUGUGAUCGUUUGGAUCUGGAGAGUGACGUAUUCAGAAUUUGAAAUGAAUGAACAAUUAAAUGCAGUAGGAUAUCAAGUUAUUACGGAAAUUGUAUUAAACUAUUGCAAUGUAUUGAUAUUUUAAAGUUAAAUCCUACAAUAUUGCAACACAAGUUUUCCGUUUUUAUACUUUAAUAGGUGGCUACAACCAAAGUUUACUGAAUAAAAUACUAGUAUUUUAUUCAGUAAACUUUGGCUACAACAGGCUGUUAAACAGGAAUUUGGGUUGACAAGGUCUCGCUCUCUUCCAAUGUGGCGUCCUAAGUGUGAGACCGGAUCUUGGUAUUGUCUUACAUGUUAUGAAAUAUUUUGUGUAAACGACAAAAUAAAACAUAAGAAACUGGAA